UCCCGACCUAUAUAAUUGUGGCGAACAUCCCCAGCUUUACUUAAAAUUAGUACCCAUAAAAGAGACCGGGUCAGCGUAGAGC